GGAGGAGACAAGAUGAGAGAAAAAACUCUGUACAACACAAAUUCUUGUCCUCACUGUAACUGUCCCUCCAAGUUUCUCUUUUUAUCCAAAAUACCAAGGAGAUAGGGGAAUUAAAUAGUGGAUAUCACGUUUAUUGUCAAACAUGCCAUGCCCAGACAGUGUUCUUGGAAUAUAAACUGGAAAUGGUCUCCUGAGAAGAAACAGUUUUCAGGUAACUGGUUGAUGGAAUAGGAUGCGGGACAGGUCCUUUGGGUAACUUGAUGACUAAGGAGAUUUGGACAGUAGCAUUGGUGGCUAAAUUGUAUGUGAAUCUGGCCAUGUAAAUGGACUAUUUAUGCAUUGAGGUGGCCAGAAGGUAACUGGUUGAUUGGAACAGAAUACUGGACAGAGGUCUUUUGGGGAAAUAGAUUAAUAAGUGAGUGGUGAUGAGCCAGGAAGAUUUGACAGUAGCAUUGGUCUAGUAAAUGGCUUAAUUUAUAUUGUCAAGUGGCUAGAAGCACGAAUCUCCGGGCUUAUAAAUCUACAUCCAGGUGUGUAGGAGAUUCCCAGGACCAAGCAUGCUUCCGUCGAUCGUCUCCGGCGUUGGAGGGGUUGGUGAACUGUGUGGUGUCAAAUUUUAUUACUGUUUUGGACUCAGAUACAAAAUUAGGUGGUUAUACGGUGCUAAGAACUCGAGGUUACUUCUAGCAAGUCAUUAAGGCCUGAUCUCAAUCUAUUAAGCUAAAUGGGCAGGUAGACUUUGAAGAACAAACGAGGAGAAG